rnacentral:tRNA from 1 species
GUGGAUGUAGCUCAGCUUGGUAGAGUGCUUGAUUGUGGUUCAAGUUGUCGCGGGUUCAAGUCCCGUCAUCCACCCCA